rnacentral:misc_RNA from 1 species
UUCUCUCACAGAACCGCUUGGUUUCAAACCCGACGGGCUCUGUUGAAGUUGGCGGCUGCGAGGUCAGACUCGCUCCGCUCAAAUGCAUUGGUGUGGCCCGCCGCACAAGUCCAUACAACGUUCUAGGUUCGUCCAACUCGUUGCUCGACUUGCUGCAAACUUAUCCGGUGCCGCACCUUAAGCCCGCCUCGUGCCUCGUGCUCUUGGCAAAUACAUCAAU